AUGUCUGCGGGGGAGGGAAGGAAGACGGCGUGCGUCACCGGAGGGAGCGGCUACAUCGCUGCAGCACUGAUCAAGCUGCUGCUCCAGAAAGGCUACGCUGUCAAGACGACAGUCCGAGACCCCGAGGACAUGGAAAAGAACUCCCACCUCAAGGAUCUACAAGCGCUUGGCCCCUUGGAGAUCAUCGGUGCCCAACUGGACAUAGAAGGUAGCUUCGACAAAGCGGUUUCUGGCUGCGACUACGCCUUCCUUGUCGCUGCUCCGAUGAACCUCGAGGCAGCAGAUCUUGAGAAGGAUGUGAUCGAAGCAGCUGUCCAAGGAACUCUCAACGUAAUGAGAUCGUGCGUGAGAGCCGGAACGGUGAAACGGGUUAUCCUGACUUCAUCGGACGCCGCGGUGUCCAGGAGGCCAUUGCACGGUGACGGACACGUGCUGGACGAGGGCUCCUGGUCCGACAUUGAGUACCUCAGAGCAGACAAGCCACCAAUUUGGGCGUACGCGGUCUCCAAGGUGCUUGUGGAGAAGGCUGCGAGUGAAUUCGCGAAUGAGAACGACAUCAGCCUCGUCACUGUGUUGCCCGUGUUCACCUUGGGCGCGGCGCCGGUCUCCAAGGCCAGAACCAGCGUCCCCAUCACCCUAUCCCUGUUGUCCGGUGACGAGACAUAUCUGAACAUGCUGAUAGGCCUGCAGUUGGUCACCGACUCUAUGUCCAUAUGCCAUGUCGACGACCUAUGUCGCGCCAAGGUGUUCGUCGCUGAGAAUGAGUCCUCCUCGGGCAGGUACAUUUGCUGUAGUCACAACACUACAGUCUUGCAGCUAGCCCGUUUCUUGGCCGAGAAGUACCCACAAUACAACGUGCAACCAGAACGCUUUGAUGGGUCCCCGGAGAAGCCGAAAGUAUGUCUGUCGUCUGAGAAGCUCAUCGAGGAAGGGUUCGUGUUCAAGUACAAUGACAUGAAUGAGAUCUUCAAUGACCUUGUCGAGUAUGGCAGGGCCACGGGGAUUCUUCCCUACUGA
rnacentral:rRNA from 1 species